CAACCAAACGAAUUUGAGGAAGAACCUCUAUUUGGUUCUUCAAGAAAUGAAAAUGAAUUUUAAAAAUCCCAACACGUGGAUUAAAAAGACAGCUAAGGAGAGACUUUUUAAACUAGAAUCUCAGAAUGUUUGCUUCUGCUGGCUAACUUAGGGAUGGUACCCGUAGUUCAGAGCCAUGUUAAACUAGAUUUUCAGCUUAACGUUUUUUUGACCAGAGUGAUGUUUGCUGCAAAUUUCAAGUUCACUGUUAUGGUGAGGGGUGGUUCUUUGGGAUGUCAGCUUUAUGGGCUGGGGCCUCCUAUUUGACCCCUCUUCUUGAACAGGCCCUGCACUUUUUUCUCUAUCCCCAUGUGGACUUGAAAAUGGAAGCUCAUAAUCCUUGCCCUCAGGACAAAAGCUGGCUUCAGAGUUUUCUUUACCUCUCUGGGUUUUUGCUUGGAUAUUUACAUUUUGUGUAACUUUAGCAGCUGAUUUCAGCAGGCAAAUACUUAGUCUAAUGCUGCCAGAAAUAGGUGCACAACUUUCUUAUAUUCUUUUUUUUCCCUAAGAUUUUAUUUUUUAAAUAAUCUCUAUGCCCACGGUGGGGCUCAAACUCAAAAUUCAAAGACCAAGAGUCACAUGCUCCACCAGCUGAGCCAGCCAGGUGCCCAAUUUUCUUAUAUUCUUGACAACACUAUUUCCUCAACAUUGUUGCUGAAGAUCCAUACCGAGUUUAAGGUAUGUUAUAAUAGAUAUUUGGUGGAGGAGGGAUGGCAGCCCUUCACCCUCCUCACAGUAUCAUGACUUCCUUUUUGGGAAUAAAAAUAGAAAUUGCGUUGGUAUGAUCUAAAGUUACUAGCCUAUAUGUGGGUAGUAGGUUUUUCAUUUAGAAAGUAGUUUUGAAUCCCAAAUUUGAGGGAAUUUUUUCCCAUAUAUGUUUAUAUACUGAUUAAAUUUAACACUUAAGUGACUUUAGUAAUGUUAGAAUAUAUUUGUAUUGACCAGGACUUCAGUUGUUCCUUCGAGAAGAUCAGUUAUAAUUCUUUGUUUCACUUUUUCCAGGAGAUUCUGCUUUCUGCAAGAGAAGUGGGGUUCGGUUUCAUCAGGGGUGCCACUGCUAGUACCCAGCUAACACUGCUUCUGAUGAACCAGCGAGCCUGCAGUGCGGACCUGAGAACAGUUUGAGCAAGUUUCCAACGCUGCUGACACCGCUGUCCAAGAGCCACAACUUGAGAAGCACUGCCUUGGAGGGACUACCCCGUGGGUGAAGGAGAGCACCACAGCUAGCCAGGGCUGAGGGCACCGUCAGCAGUGGAUCCUGGAGCCACCCCUUCCUGAGGCCUCACCUCCACAUCUCCAGGCUCUCCUAGGAGCUUUGGGAAUUAGCAACUAACUGCAGGCUCCUGUGGGAGGAAGCCAGGCGUGC